CAUUGGCUUUAUCGAAGCUAUGACCUUUUUUUCCAUAAAAUGUUGUAGUCAAAAGUAAGCCAAUAAUAAAUAAACUCUUUUUUUGGUCACUGGUUAAGUCUAAUAUUUUUUCAGUAUUACCCUAAAAGAGUACACUU